rnacentral:lncRNA from 1 species
AAAGCAGUAACACACACAAAUGAGGAUGCUUUGGAACUGUGAAUUCUCUCUGCCACCAUCAAAGGAUCUCUGCAAAUUAAAAGAAAAAGGAUGUGGAAAAGAUCAGGCCUGGGUUUUGAAGGGUAUAACUGAAACCAUCCAAUGCAUCAGAGACAACCAUGUGGUGCAUAAGCCCACACUGCAUACAGCUGCACACACACACACGGUGUUAGCCUUCUUGAGUCUCUUUACUCAUGCCUAGGAGGUGCCCAGAGCCACCCCCAGUGAGGUGCCAAGUCAGCCUAUCAAGAGGGAAUGGGCCCUAAGCAAGUCUGAGUCCCUUGUCCUUGAGGAUGCUGAUAUCCCCCUGGACCUCUUUUGUUUAUCAGUAUAGAUACAGACUCUGUAACAAAUUCAUCAGCGGCAAUCAUUAGAAGCCAUCAACAACUGACUGAACUGUCUUAGAAAAGUGAGUAACUGUAUACCCCCAAAACACUGCCCUGUUCAGUUUGUGAGGAGAAUGAAACAAACAAACAAACAAACAAACAAACAAAAAAAAAAAAAAAAAAAAAAAGCAAGUAGUGUGAAGUAGAGAGUUCAAGGGAAAAGGCAGAUAGGGUGCUCUAGAAGCGGGGCUCUGAAAGCUGUCAGGGCCACGCUGAUCUCAGGUGGUCACCUGCUUGAGCUGAUGAGCAUCAGGCACCUGGGCUGGAACCUAAUCUGUCUCACCAGAGGCCACCUGGCAAUUAUGGGGAAGCAAGAUCUUUCCUUGGCUCCUAGCUACACCUGUGGUUACUCUGCUGAGUGCCAUGACUGUAUUUAAAGCAGCCCCACAGAGGGGCCUAUUUUCAUUUGGUUUGUCUCAGCUUGGUUUGAGCAUCUCCCUGGUUGGUGUCCUGUGUUUUUGGCUGAUUUCUGUAUCCCUUUGUGUCACUGAAUUAAACUGCAUGGCAUCUGGAGAGUGGGCUCUGGAAAGGAUUGUAGUGAGGCCCCAGAUGUGGAGAACUGGAAGGCCUCUUUCCCCUGAGCAGAGGUCCUAAGCAAGCAGUACCUUUCUGGAAACUAAGUAUGAAAGUAAAAGAGAGGGCCUGUACUUCAUGCCACCGUGACCCUAAUAGCACAGAGGUGUUUACACCCAAGUAUUUGAGUCAAGCUUAGGGCACCUCCUGCCAGGCACUUGCUGGUCAUGGUGCCUAUGUAGAGUGAAUGGAAGGAAGUGUACUUAAGCUGUGUUUUCCUGCUAAGGAAGGAACUGAUUGUGUGCUGUGAAGGAGGAGUAGGGGAGUGUGACAAGUAAGCAGAGGGCUAAAAAGAUGCUUGGUGAACAGGGAGCCUAUGAUUCAGAGAGACUAAAAGCUUUGUUUGCUCAUCCUAUCAAAAUGAGAAUGGGAAAGGGGAAACUACUGCUCUUCGCAUGUAUGCAUGGAAAGGAGCCUCAAGGGAAAAAAGCUGCUUAAGCUACAAGGUGAGGUUGGUACAAUGAAUAGCUAGUUAGAUACCUUCUAACCACUGGCUUAGCAUCUGUGCAGCCUUGUAAUCAGGGUAAGAACAAGCAGCACUUACCUGGUCCUAAAAGGAAGCUUAAUAAGUGUAUGAAAGGCAUGGUGUGAGAUGAUGCAUAGGGCUGAAAAGGGCAUCCUGGAUGUUGUCUUUUAGCUCAGGCUCCCUGUGCAGUAGAGGAUCAGGUCAGAGUGUCUAUGUAUAAAGAGCUUUGUCUUGAGGGGAAAAAAAGGAAUUUUCUGCCUAUCCUGACUUCAGAAUCUGAGCUGUUAAAGUAACGUGGUGUGGUAAAUGGUGCAGUAAACUUCGAAUGGCAAAAAUUAACUGAACUAAUUCAUAUCUCUAAAGAAAUGCAACACGCUAACAUUCGUGAGGCUUACAUAGCUCACUUGAGGACUUUUUACCAACCAUUUAAAAAUGAGUCAUAUGCCUGACUCCCAGGUAAGAUUUCUGUUAACUUUCCUCCUGUGCAGAAAGAGAUCAAUAACUGACCAGUUACUGCUGGACAUUGACAGAAAACAAAGCAAAUGGUGCAUUGCUUUAUAAUAGCUAUGGUGUAUGAAAUCAUUAUGCUAACUUACGAAGUCAGUGCCUAUACAUUGUUUUGCUAUUUGUUAAGUUGUGAAGUGCAUAAACAGUAGCUACCUAACAUUGAAUGCCUGCUGCAAUCUCUUGUAUUCAUGUGCAAGAUCCACUUCUUUAAUGCCACAAUUCAUCAACUUUGUUACACUUGAGACUUUGGCUUUUCUUUUUCUUCAAGAAUAAGGAAGAAAAUUACUUAUCCUUUCUGCAGCUGUGUGCUCUUACAUUGGCUUCUCUCACCUCAGAAAUGUGUACCUAGUUGUAUCUAAGAUAAUUUGGAGCUCAAAAACAUUAAUUUGGGCUGGAUAUUAACCUUUUCUGCACUGCAAACAAGUGCAAGGAGGCUGAACUACUUGCAUACCUACUCAAAGUGCAAAAUAAGAACAGAUGCUGCUUGUAUCAGAAAGUGACCUGGGAGGCCAGAGGUAUAUCAGACUUCUGAUGGAAUGACAGCCAAAGGUAAGACCAUGUAGGCUCUUCUAGAGCUGAUUAUUUUCAGGGAUUUUAUUUGCUAUUGUAAAUGUCCUGUGGCUCAGGUUUAACGAUGUCAUUAAUUUUUGGUUGCUGUUUGUAUGACUGUUGUUCUAAUUUGCCUAGUGGUGCAAUAUACUGCAGCCUGAGCAUACCUGCAAGUAGUCCAGAGAAUCUGAGAUAGUGUCCUUGCAUCAGUAAAUAAAUAGACUCAAAUGCAACA